UCUAAAGGGCGUUUGGUGAAUGCCUUGGCACAUGGAGGCGAUGAAGGACGUGGCACGCUGCGAUAAGCCCCGGGAAGCUGUGAGCAAGCUUUGAUCCGGGGAUUUCCGAAUGGGGAAACCCACCCUUAGGGGUAUCCUGACCUGAAUACAUAGGGUCAGGAGGCGAACCCGGUGAACUGAAACAUCUCAGUAGCCGGAGGAAAGGACAUCAACCGAGACUCCGUUAGU
rnacentral:rRNA from 1 species